AUCAUCUCGGGAGGUCGAAGUCUGGCCGGUGACGUCGCAUCUACACCCGGGGAUUUUUCCCCGGGCUCGUUUUCACGGGACUCGUGCAGGUGCUGCUGCGUUUUAAAACACGCAUUGGGCAACAUUUUGAAAAGGGGAGGUAGUCUUAUAACUUAACAAGAUGAAAGGAAUAUAAAACAACAUUUGUUAACUUUCCACUGUUUAUUAUGGAUGAUUAUGAAUUAAUUAAUGAAUACUUACCGAACUAGAGGAUAUGAGGUAGCUGGUAUGAUCCAGCGUGCUUGAUGAUGAGGUGAUUUUCUAGGUUACACCCUCACUUCUUUGUCUAGGUUAAGAUGCUAACAAGCAACCAGAGUUAAGAUGGAAA